AUUGAACGCUGGCGGCAGGCUUAACACAUGCAAGUCGAGCGGAGAUGAGGUGCUUGCACCUUAUCUUAGCGGCGGACGGGUGAGUAAUGCUUAGGAAUCUGCCUAUUAGUGGGGGACAACAUUCCGAAAGGAAUGCUAAUACCGCAUACGUCCUACGGGAGAAAGCAGGGGAUCUUCGGACCUUGCGCUAAUAGAUGAGCCUAAGUCGGAUUAGCUAGUUGGUGGGGUAAAGGCCUACCAAGGCGACGAUCUGUAGCGGGUCUGAGAGGAUGAUCCGCCACACUGGGACUGAGACACGGCCCAGACUCCUACGGGAGGCAGCAGUGGGGAAUAUUGGACAAUGGGGGGAACCCUGAUCCAGCCAUGCCGCGUGUGUGAAGAAGGCCUUAUGGUUGUAAAGCACUUUAAGCGAGGAGGAGGCUACUGAGACUAAUACUCUUGGAUAGUGGACGUUACUCGCAGAAUAAGCACCGGCUAACUCUGUGCCAGCAGCCGCCGCCGUAA
rnacentral:rRNA from 1 species